CGUCGUUUCAAGAUAUUAGAAGAUUCGCUGAUUGUGACCUCGAAUUAGAACAGAAAUUAAAGAUUCUGAAUUUCAUGAAGAGAUUUGGUAAAGAAUCUUUGUGUUUGACUGUUAGAGAUUACUUCAAAGUGACUAAAAAGUUUCCCAUAAAAAUGGGAAGUUCUCUUCAUUCCAUAUUUUCUGGUAUUCUAAAUCUAAAUGAAUACUUAAUUGAGAGAAAUUAAUGAUUUUGAAAGACUCUCUUGCCUUGAAUUCCCGUCAAAAAUAGUAAUUUUCAAAAAACUUAGCAAUU